rnacentral:rRNA from 1 species
UACGACUACAUAUCAGGCAUAUCAAUAAGCGGAGGAAAAGAAACUAACAAGGGUUCCCUUAGUAACGGCGAGUGAAGCGGGAAGAGCUCAAAUUUGAAAUCUUCAAGGUUUUACCUUGACGAAUUGUAGUUUAAAGAAGUGUUCUCUGUUGAAGUUUCGGUAAAAGUUCUUCGGAAUAGGACAUCAUAGAGGGUGAGAAUCCCGUAUUUGACCAUUAUUUCCAGCCUUGUGAUACACUUUCAAAGAGUCGGAUUGUUUGGGAAUGCAGUCCAAAAUGGGUGGUAAAUUUCAUCUAAAGCUAAAUAUUGGCGAGAGACCGAUAGCGAACAAGUACCGUGAGGGAAAGAUGAAAAGAACUUUGAAAAGAGAGUUAAACAGUACGUGAAAUUGUCAAAAGGGAAGCGUUUGACACCAGUGUUGUUUAGUUGAAAAUCAAUUAAAUAAUUUUUGAUUUUGAGUAGUAUUGACUUCAUCGGCUUGCUGCUUUCUUUUCGGAAAUUAUUUAAUGCACUUUUCAGUUAACAAGUCAACAUCAAUUUCUUUUGUUGUAAAAGGGUAAGAGGAAGGUGGCUUGCGCUUCGGCUCAAGUGUUUAUAGCCUUUUACUUCUGCAAUCGGAGAGAUUGAGGUCUGCAGCGUAGAUCCUUCGGGGUUAGAUACAUUUGUGCUAAGCUAUAGCCUUGUAUAGACAACUUGUUGACUAUGCUCAGUCAUGUAGCUUACUCGCUUAUGCUAUUUUACCUACGCUUAGGAUGUUGACGCGCGUGUGUGCGUG